rnacentral:rRNA from 1 species
GAUGAACGCUGGCGGCGUGCCUAAUACAUGCAAGUCGAGCGAACAGACGAGGAGCUUGCUCCUCUGACGUUAGCGGCGGACGGGUGAGUAACACGUGGAUAACCUACCUAUAAGACUGGGAUAACUUCGGGAAACCGGAGCUAAUACCGGAUAAUAUAUUGAACCGCAUGGUUCAAUAGUGAAAGACGGUUUUGCUGUCACUUAUAGAUGGAUCCGCGCCGCAUUAGCUAGUUGGUAAGGUAACGGCUUACCAAGGCAACGAUGCGUAGCCGACCUGAGAGGGGGAUCGGCCACACUGGAACUGAGACACGGUCCAGACUCCUACGGGAGGCAGCAGUAGGGAAUCUUCCGCAAUGGGCGAAAGCCUGACGGAGCAACGCCGCGGGAGUGAUGAAGGUCUUCGGAUCGUAAAACUCUGUUAUUAGGGAAGAACAAAUGUGUAAGUAACGAUGCACGUCUGGACGGUACCUAAUCAGAAAGCCACGGCGAACUACGU